AUCCACAUGACGAGUCCCAAAUAGGAUGCAACGCGCGUCCAUGAU
rnacentral:hammerhead_ribozyme from 1 species